CAAUAAAAACAGGGUGAUCCAGACUUUUGAAGUCUUUAAAGACACCAUCACUGUGAUCUUUGUACCACUGCUGCGGAAAAGAGGUCAACAUUUCACAUUUCUGGCACUACUAACGACAACACAGCAACUAAAAGAAAGCAUGAAUUUCUGGAAGCAGCAUUAGGAUACAGGACUCCUGCUGAGCUCACCAGUUCCUUGCUCUGCACAGCUGCCUUCUCAGCUGGGGGUUUUAAAUCAGCACUGUGAGAAAAGACAGAAAUGACCAUAGUGCAUUUGCCUCACUAUGAGAAAAAGACAAGUAAAAGGUCACAUGAGCAUACAGUGAGAUGGUGGCCACCUACAAGUCAAGAGAAGCAGCCUCAGAAUGUAACCUACCAUACCGCCACCUUGAUCUUACACUUCCCAGCCUCCAGAAUGGUAAACUGGAUGAUGUGAAAAAGCCAGAAAUCUAGCAUUUGAAAAAUAACAACUGAUAUGAAAAAACACAGGUAAGAUUAAACUCCUAUAACGCACAGAUAUCUCA